CCAAUAGCGUAUAUUAAAGUUGUUGCAGUUAAAAAGCUCGUAGUUGAAUUUCGGGACCAAUCUGCCGGUCGUGCCUCCGGUACGCAUUGGUUUUAUUGGUUUCUCCCUUCUGACGAACCAUGAUGUCAUUAAUUUGGUGUCAUGGGGAAUCAGGACUGUUACUUUGAAAAAAUUAGAGUGUUUAUAGCAGGCUCACGCGUGAAUACAUUAGCAUGGAUUAAUGAAAUAGGACGUUUGACCCGAUUUUGUUGUUUUAUAGGAUCGACGUAAUGAUUAAUAGGGAUAGUGAGGGGCAUUAGUAUUCAAUUGUCAGAGGUGAAAUUCUUGGAUUUAUUGAAGACUAACUACUGCGAAAGCAUUUGCCAAGGAUGUUUUCAUUAAUCAAGAACGAAAGUUAGGGGAUCGAAGACGAUCAGAUACCGUCGUAGUCUUAACCAUAAACUAUGCCGACUAGGGAUCGGAUGAUGUUAAUUUUUUAAUGACUCAUUCGGCGCCUUACA
rnacentral:misc_RNA from 1 species